CGGGACGGGGUGAGUAAUGUCUGGGAAACUGCCUGAUGGAGGGGGAUAACUACUGGAAACGGUAGCUAAUACCGCAUAACGUCGCAAGACCAAAGAGGGGGACCUUCGGGCCUCUUGCCAUCGGAUGUGCCCAGAUGGGAUUAGCUAGUAGGUGGGGUAAAGGCUCACCUAGGCGACGAUCCCUAGCUGGUCUGAGAGGAUGACCAGCCACACUGGAACUGAGACACGGUCCAG
rnacentral:rRNA from 1 species